UACGUAGGCAGCAAGCGUUGUUCGGAAUUACUGGGCGUAAAGAGUACGUAGGUGGUUUGCCAAGUCCGAUGUGAAAUCUCCUGGCUUAACUGGGAGGGUGCGUUAGAUACUGGCAGGCUUGAGUGUGGGAGAGGAGAGCGGAAUUCCUGGUGUAGCGGUGAAAUGCGUAGAUAUCAGGAGGAACGCCUAUGGUGUAGACGGCUCUCUGGACCAUUACUGACACUGAGGUACGAAAGCGUGGGUAGCAAACAGG
rnacentral:rRNA from 1 species